GACGAACGCUGGCGGCGUGCUUAACACAUGCAAGUCGAGCGGUAAGGCCCUUUCGGGGGUACGACGAGCGGCGAACGGGUGAGUAACACGUGGGUGACCUGCCCUCAGCUCUGGGAUAAGCCUGGGAAACCGGGUACUAAUACUGGAUAUGACUCCAUGACGCAUGUUGUGGGGUGGAAAGCCUUGUGCGGCUGAGGAUGGGCCCGCGGCCUAUCAGCUUGUUGGUGGGGUGAUGGCCUACCAAGGCGACGACGGGUAGCCGGCCUGAGA
rnacentral:rRNA from 1 species